rnacentral:ncRNA from 1 species
ACGGGGUGCUCACAAGAGUGGGCUGAGAGUAAGCUAUCGCUUUAACCCAUAACCUGAUUUGGAUAAUGCCAACGUAGGGAAAUAGAGGAUU